rnacentral:rRNA from 1 species
GACGAACGCUGGCGGCGUGCUUGACACAUGCAAGUCGAACGGAAAGGCCCUGCUUUUGUGGGGUGCUCGAGUGGCGAACGGGUGAGUAACACGUGAGUAACCUGCCCUUGACUUUGGGAUAACUUCAGGAAACUGGGGCUAAUACCGGAUAGGAGCUCCUGCUGCAUGGUGGGGGUUGGAAAGUUUCGGCGGUUGGGGAUGGACUCGCGGCUUAUCAGCUUGUUGGUGGGGUAGUGGCUUACCAAGGCUUUGACGGGUAGCCGGCCUGAGAGGGUGACCGGCCACAUUGGGACUGAGAUACGGCCCAGACUCCUACGGGAGGCAGCAGUGGGGAAUAUUGCACAAUGGGCGGAAGCCUGAUGCAGCAACGCCGCGUGCGGGAUGACGGCCUUCGGGUUGUAAACCGCUUUCGCCUGUGACGAAGCGUGAGUGACGGUAAUGGGUAAAGAAGCACCGGCUAACUAUGUG